ACAGACAGAGGGUAGUUUAAACGUAGAAUGCCAGCUUUGGGAGCCGGUGGUGGCGGUUAAACUCCGUCCUCUUUGA
rnacentral:tRNA from 1 species